rnacentral:snRNA from 1 species
UUACUUGUAAAUAGUGAAAUCAAUCUUAUGAAAAACAAAAAAGUGCCUCCAGGAAGAGGCCCUUCCAUUGCACUUUGGUUGGGCUGAAGCCUGCGAUUACCCCUAAUAUGGGUAACUCGGGUACGCAAUUUAUUAGUGUGGGAGUCUGCGUUCGCGCUAACCCCUG